rnacentral:rRNA from 1 species
AAUCAACGCUGGCGGCGUGCCUAACACAUGCAAGUCGAACGCGAAAGCCCCUUCGGGGGUAAGUAGAGUGGCGUCCGGGUGAGUAACACGUAGGUAAUCUACCUUCGGGUGGGGAAGUAAACUCGCCGAAAGGACGAGCUAAUACCGCAUAAUGCAGCGGCACCUAAUGGUGAUUAGUUGUUAAAGCGGGGGAGUCGUAAGACCUCGCGCCUGAAGAGGAGCCUGCGGCAGAUUAGCUAGNGGUGAGGUAAUGGCUCACCAAGGCUUCGAUCUGUAGCUGGUCUGAGAGGACGGCCAGCCACACUGGCACUGACACACGGGCCAGACUCCUACGGGAGGCAGCAGU